rnacentral:rRNA from 1 species
UACGUAGGGUGCAAGCGUUGUCCGGAAUUAUUGGGCGUAAAGAGCUUGAGUAGGCGGUUUGUCGCGUCUGCUGUGAAAAUCCGGGGCCUCAACCCCGGACUUGCAGUGGGUACGGGCAGACUAGAGUGUGGUAGGGGAGACGUGGAAUUCCGUGGUGUAGCGGUGGAAUGCGCAGAUAUCAGGAGGAACACCGAGUGGCGAAGGCAGGUCUCUGGGCCACUACUGACGCUGAGAAGCGAAAGGCAUGGGGAGCGAACAGG